AGCUGCCGCCGCGCUUCCGCGAUGCGCGGCCCUUCCGCCGGCUGCGGGGCCCCGAGAACGCGGCGUCGGCGCCCCUCCCCUCCGCGGGGGGCUGGCCGGAAGAACGCGGGCGGCCGGCCCGGAGACCACGGGCGCCGGCUGCUUUCCCAGUUGAGCCGCUUCCCGCCUGGGGACCUGGGUGGCGCCGGGCGGAGACCCCUCUGCACCCCAGCGCCCCGCACUCCGCGGAGUUGAAUGCGCGUAACAAUCCGAGUGGCCGCCGGGCUUUGGCUCGCCUUCCUCCCGCGGGGACCCGCGGGCCGGCUGCUGCCCGGAGGCCAGCGCCCGUACGAGUUCGGGGAAAAUGCGGCUGGAGUGGGGGAAGGUGCGGGCGGGGGCUCCGGCCCUCCUUCCUCUGCUGGCCUCUGCCUUGGGCAGUCCGGCCCUGCCCGAGGCGGGGGAACCGGGAGGUAGGGCCGCACACUUGGAGGAACGUUGCCUGGGGGUUUUGUUCGCGCACCCGCCCCUUCCCCUCUCCCGGUAAAUGUUUAACACCACCGCUCAUCCCCAAGUCCAGUUCUCUAACUCUUCCUUCCUCCGGUCCUUUAGUUGAAAAAGGCUAAAUUGUUCCGUCUGGCAGAUUAGAGUGGUACAUGGGGGGAAAGAGAAAGGGAUAAAGAAGUAGGAAGAAAAUUGCCAAAACCGAGUUGAUGAAGUCCCGAGAAGCACGAGGUACUUCUCUCCGUUCCAGAUAAAUUUGCACGACACAAGAAGCGUGAUUUGAAACUAACGAUAUAUGUUAUUUAAUUGGGUUCGGUGAGCUCCUCUUAAAGGUCUCGAGUGGGGAGCACUGAGGUUGGACAGCUGUUAACCAGCAGCUGCGCUCCAGGCCAGAAGUGGCUGCACUUCAGUAGGAUGGGAGUCACCGCGUUGACCCUAGUGGGUGUUAAAUGCUUUGGAAUUCUACCAGAUACAGUUAAAAGUCCCCUUUUCGAUGUAUUAUAGUACUUUUCCUGGAAGCUAUCCUCUGUCAUUAAGUGGUAAUAAGCUACUGAAAUAGGCACUUGUCAGUUUUGCCCUUUCAAGUUAGCAGGAAUUACAUCCUCUGGACCAGAGAUGGCACAGGAGCAGUUGAGUAGAAUCAUCAUUGAAAGAUGGGCUGUACAUCUCUGAUCUGGGGAAAAUAAUAAUAAUUUUUUUUAAAAAAAAAGAUCGGCUGAACAUGGAAGAGGUUUACCCGUCAAACAAAAUUAUUUACUUCUACUUUUUGUUCAGUGACAAUACGAUUAAUCGUACUAAUAACAAAUAUGCAAAUGUUUCAUAUAAAAGUACAUAUUCU
rnacentral:lncRNA from 1 species